rnacentral:rRNA from 1 species
UACGGGGGGAGCAAGCGUUGUUCGGAUUUACUGGGCGUAAAGGGCGCGUAGGCGGCCACCGCAAGUCGACUGUGAAAUCUCCGGGCUUAACCCGGAAAGGUCAGCCGAUACUGCGGGGCUAGAGUGCGGAAGGGGCAACUGGAAUUCUCGGUGUAGCGGUGAAAUGCGUAGAUAUCGAGAGGAACACCUGCGGCGAAGGCGGGUUGCUGGGCUGACACUGACGCUGAUGUGCGAAAGCUAGGGGAGCGAACGGG